CCUACGGGAGGCAGCAGUCGGGAAUAUUGGACAAUGGGCGAAAGCCUGAUCCAGCAAUACCGCGUGUGUGAAGAAGGCCUGCGGGUUGUAAAGCACUUUCGCUAGGGAAGAUAAUGACGGUACCUAGAUAAGAAGCACCGACUAACUCCGUGCCAGCAGCCGCGGUAAUACGGAGGGUGCAAGCGUUAAUCGGAAUUACUGGGCGUAAAGCGCGCGUAGGCGGCUUGUUAAGUCAGAUGUGAAAGCCCCGGGCUCAACCUGGGAACUGCAUCUGAUACUGGCAGGCUAGAGUUUGUGAGAGGGAAGUGGAAUUUCCGGUGUAGCGGUGAAAUGCAUAGAGAUCGGAAGGAACAUCAGUGGCGAAGGCGACUUCCUGGCACAAAACUGACGCUGAGGUGCGAAAGCGUGGGUAGCAAACAGGAUUAGAUACCCUGGUAGUCCACGCCGUAAACGAUGUCAACUAGCCGUUGGGAACAUUUAAGUUUUCAGUGGUGCAGCUAACGCAUUAAGUUGACCGCCUGGGGAGUACGGUCGCAAGACUAAAACUCAAAGGAAUUGACGGGG
rnacentral:rRNA from 1 species